CAUGUGGGCGUGGUCUCUGGAUGUCAAUCAUGCGCCGCUUCACGUAUCCACGGCGCUCCUGAACGCUAUACAGACAUGCUGUGUGUGAGUGUGACCGCUAGAAAAAAAGCAUGCAUAAACAAACCCACCGCCUUCUGUCUGCAUAGAAACUAAAAUUGGAAGGAGGGAUAAUCGAGAGCACUGACUGUCAGUGUGUAACAUCGCAGGUGUCAUGGAGAAUCACUGCUGUUCAAGGCGGCCGCGAUCGGUCUCACCGCCACUUUCGUCAUGCUCGUCCAAGAUCCAUCAAACACGCUCUUCGGAGGUGGAUACCCAGAAUUGUGGCGGAGAACCGGACUGGCCGGAGCCCCUACACCUUCGCGGGCGUGUUCCUUCUAGCGAUGGGCUGGUUGUACAGACUGUUAUUCGCUCCUUUGGAGCUGCUCCGCGGUGUGGAUGAGGUGGGGUACAUUGCGGAGGACGGACGCUCUCGUGCCCAGGCUGCCAACGAGGUGAGGCGGCGACGGAAAACGGGAAUUACCGCCGGUUUAUCCAAACGACUGGUAUCGGGUUUUAGACUCUCACAUGCUGGAGAGAGGAGAUGUGAAGAGUGUGACAGUGCUAGCAGUUAAAGUGUCAUGGGAUCACAAACAGCGAGAAGGGUCUCUCGAACAGGAAAUACGUCACCUCCACUUGAAUUAAUAAAGGAGGACAAAGAUGGCGUCGCUGUGAGUUUUUCUCAGGGCUAAGAUCUAGGAUUUGCACGGAAGAUGCAGCACUCUUUAUAUUUUAAAGAUCGUUGUUUGAUUGAUCAUUCACCAGCACGCUUCAUCUCACCAACGCACCUCUCUUCAAGCUGACCAUCUCUGUCCCUGCGCCACCCUUAGAUCCUCGUUCAGCGUAUUGUCAACAUCAUUAUUUUCAAUAAACGUGUUAACUUGC